AACCCGUAGAUCCGAACUUGUGGUGGGAGUUUUGCACAAGCUCGUGUCUACGGGUCUG
rnacentral:pre_miRNA from 1 species